rnacentral:lncRNA from 1 species
UUUUUUUUUUUUCUAAAAGAAAACUGAAAGGAUGUCAUUAAUAAAAUAAACAAUUACAUGACUACAUGUAAAACACGUGUAGCCUAACAGCUGCCCCCAAACCGUCCCCCUAAAAUAACCUAAAAGCAGGAUUUAACUUUCUAGAUUCCUAAAAAACUGAACAGACGCAUUAAAAACAACAGUAGCCUUCAAGAAACCUUAGAAAGACUACCAGAAAAACAAAGAAACAAACCAAACAAAUCAGAAAAAAUUGCAGCCUAAACUGAUUGGCAUUCCUCUCCGUCUGUUCUAUUACCAUCGUCUAUCUCCAAAAAAACAUUAUUGUUAACGUCCAACGAUGGAUCCUUAAAGAACCUGAAACCGUCGGAGUCCGCAAAAAUCCCCUUCCUACGACCCAUUUCAUCCUCAAAACAGAGCCCUUCUAUCUUCUUCGGCCACCGCUUCAACUCUUGAAGGUGCCUCCUUAACCCAAAUCAUCGCCGAUGGCCAUUGAUUUCCUUCCUUCGCAAUCGUAUGCGCCGCUCGGUUCACCGCUCUGCCCACAAAAUGACGAGUAAAACUCUCAUAUCCUUGGGCCCUCUUUUUUAUUUCUUUGAUAAUCAUAGAAAUGCUUGAUCUGUCAUUCUCUGAUGAACGGAUUUUCUUAAUAACUAUCAAGGAAUCCCCUUCCACCACUAGUCGUCGGAAUCCCAACUCUUCGGCCACCGUCACCGCUUGUAAACAAGUCUUCGCCUCAACCGUGGUGGCAUCGGCCACAAAACUAUUUGGGUAAGCACAAGUCGCCAAAAUGUGCCCCUCACUAUCUCUAAAGAUUAUCCUAAAUACCGAACUAAACAUGCACUUGUUGAAAGUCGCAUCAAAAUUGCAUUUAACUUCAUUAAUUCCUGGUGGCGUCCAUAUACUAUUCAUCUGGUUCAUAGGUGUUGAAAUCACGGAUUCUGUAAAUGUGCUAUCUGAAUAAUAUGCUUUAAUAAACGUAACCAGACCCACUAUGUUCCGUUUUUCACCCUGAUGAUAUACCUUAUUUCUGUGGUACCAGACUGCCCAUAACACAAUAGUUAGCCAUUUGCAUUUCUCCUCUCCUGUACAAGAAAAUAUAUUUGCUGACCGCAAUUUCCAACUUUGUCCUUGAAUGCUGGGCGAGACAUUUACCCCAACCCUUGCAGAACACUUUCAAUAAACAUGCAAUCCCGGAAUAUAUGGCUCACCGAUUCCUCUAUUGUACGACAGAGAGGACAAAUGUUCACCACCUGCAGAUUCCUCACUUGUAAAUUGUCAAACAUGGGGAUAUAGUUAUUAUCAAUUUUCCAUGUUUAAUUUUUAUUUUGCUUGCAACUUGUAACUUCCAUAAUUUGUUGUAGAAGUUCUGUAAUAGCGUAGCUUGUUGUAACAUUUCCCCCCUGCGCUGCUGUCACUUCUUCACUAAGCAGCCAUUUAUAGCCACUUUUUGCCGAGAACACACCUAUACUGUCUCCCCUCCACACUCUUUCAUCAUCAAGAUCAACUUCAGCAGCUGGGAUUGUCAAAAUUUUGUUUACCUGCUCCUCGACAAAAAGCUUCCUUAGGACCUCCAACUUCUAGGUAGCUGUCUCUCUAUUAAUAAGAUCUGCUACAAUUUAAUUAAUAUCAAUAUUCUGAAUUCUAACUUUUCCAUGUCCAGGUCUUGGUAACCAGACAUCAUUCCAGAUGUUUAUUGAUCUGCCGUUUCCAACCCUCUAGCCCAUGCCUAGCUCCAGAAGUCUUCUGGCUCCCCAUAUGCUCCUCCAGGUAAAAGAUGGGUGAGAGCCUAAACUGGCACUCAUAAAGUCACAAUGUGGAUAAUCCUUUCCUUUCAUGACGUGAGCAAACAAACAAUCUGGUUUCAUAAUUAACCGCCAUCCUUGUUUAGCAAGUAUCGCUAUAUUGAACUUGGUUAAUUCCCUAAAUCCCAACCCCUCUUGUGCUUUCGGCUAGCACAUCCCCCUCCAAUCGCACUGAUAAAUUCCCUUUCCUGUUUUAGAAUUUUGCCACCAAAAUUUACUAGUAAUGCUUUCUAGUUCACGACAUAACGUAACAAGCAACAAAAAACGUUACAUCGUAUAGACUGGGAUGGCUUGUAAAAUUUGUUCUUUACCUUCCAAGUGACAAUUGACGUAUACUCCAAUUUUCAAUACGUUUCCUGAAUCUAUCUUUGAAACUUGCAAAUGCCUUUUUCUUUCGCUUUCCAAUCAUAGUUGAUAACCCGAGGUAUUUUUCAAGGUUACUAGAGACCCUUACUCCCAUAGUUGUCCCAAUUUGUUUCUUCUUGAUGCUCGACACAUUAUUGCUAAAAAAUAAAGUCAAUUUAUCAAUUGCCCUGAAACUCCUCCAUAAUCGGUCAUUAAACUUUAAUAGCAGCCGCAAACGAGGUGCUGUCAUCUGCAAAAAAUAGGUGAGGUAAGGAAAGCCCACUUCUCCCGACUCUUACUCCUUUGAUAGCUCCUUCAGAUUUUGCCAAUUUAAUAAGGGAAGAAAAACAUUAGGCACAUAUUAGAAAUAAAUACGGGAUAAGUGGGUCGCAUUGCCUCAAUCCUCUUGAAGAUUUCAAAUUUUUCCCUUGCACAGAUAUUCCACCGUUCUAACACACUCCAUAACUAAGCUUAACCAAUUUUCGCAAAAACCCAUACGCCUCAUAACUUAUUCAAUGAAACUCCAUUUCAACCUAUCAUGUCUAAUUUCAUGGCAAAAUGGCCCCGUACACCACUCCUUUUUUGUUUCAGCGAUUGUAGCACAUCAUAUGCAAUUAACGCAUUAUCCGUAAUUUGUCUGCCAAGGACAAAUGUUGCCUGUGCAUCAUCAAUACAUUUAUCAAGCACUGUUCUAAAUCUAUUUAGAACCACUUUAGAUAUAAUUUAUACAGCACAUUACAUAUGAUUUAGAACCACUUUAGAUAUAAUUUAUACAGCACAUUACAUAUGCUAAUUGGCCUAAGUUUUGACAUACAGGGUUGAGAGCUCUCUUUUGGCAUAAGCGCAAUGCUAGUGAUGUUUAAAAUGCCAAUCUCCUUUCUUCUAGUCAAAACGUCUAAACAAUAUUUAGUAAUCUCAUCUCCAACAAUGUGCCAAUAUUUUUGAUAAAAAAGUGCAGGAUAAUCAUCUAUACAUAAUACCUUUGAAGGUGCUAUAUUCUUCAUUGCUUCCCUCACUUCUUCGGAUCUAAACUGUUCAAUCAGCUUAGUGUUCAUAUCUUCAUGAAUACAUCUCGUUAUCCCCAACAACACUCUCUCAUUACUGCUCGUAUAUGAAGUUGUGAAUAAUUCCUUGAAAUAGUCAUUUGCCACUUGUAUCUUCUCCUCCUCUCCUUUGACCCAAUCUCUGUUUAGCCUUUUUAGCUUUUCCACAGUGUUCCUCUUUUUUCGUUGGUUUGUCCAAAUCGGCUUGUGCUUUCUAGUUUCAGUCCCCAAAUUAAUUAGAAUUGAAUAAUGAUCUGACAUAGCAUGCGACAAAUGUUUUAAAGAAUACUUUGGAAAACUCUCCCGCCAUGCCAAAUUUGCCACCCAUCUAUAAAUUCUCUCUUGAAUAUUGUUUUCUGGUAAUCAGCCUCUCUCCCAAGUGUACCAUCUUCCCGUAAAUCCCAUAUCGCUAAGUUCACAGUCCUCCAAUACUUUCCUAAAGCAAGCCAUAUUUCUUUCGUUUCGUAGUCAGCGCCCCUUUUUCUCAAACGAGAACAUAAUUUCAUUAAAAUCUCUCACAACCAUCCAUGGUAAAUCUCGAUAAGACCCAAACCUUCUUAGGAGAUUCUAUUAUUCUCUUCUUUUAUGUUCUUCUGGUGCACCAUAGAAUCUUGUAAACCUCCACGAUGGCAUACUCUCUCCAUCCUUUACUUCCAGAUCAAUAUGGUUAGUUGAAAAGCUUUUCAACUGUACAACAUAAUCCCCUUUGCACCCAAUUGGUAAACCCUUUUUUGAUCCAUGUGUACCAACAUCAAUUCCGUUAACAAAACAACACUUCAAUUGAACCUUUUCCAUUCUUUUUCCACUCAACUUUGUUUCAAUUAGAAACAAAAUUUGGGGCUGUAUAUGCCUCACCAUGUUUUUGAGACGAUUAAUCACCCGUGGAUGCCUCAAGCCAUAAACAUUCCAAUUUAGGAUUUGCAUUGCUCCUGGUUGGCUCGCUUACCAACGGCCGCCAAUCUCUUAUUAAAUUCAAUCAGUAAACCAUUAAUACCAGACCCAUUUGACUAAUCAUCCCUUGGUCUUUGUCUCUUUUUCCCUUCACAACCUCCAAUUAGCUUGUUCUCCAUUAUAGUUUCUCUUUAAUCCAUCUUCCACGCCCCUUGAACAAUUGCAUUUCCUUCCUUACCCAUAACAUUUUGAUCAUCCAUAUCCAUACUUUGGUGAUUACUACCUCCUUGAAAACCUUUUGCCCCAUCUUCCCUUAACCACUUACUCUCGUUUGGAACCUUUUUUUUGUAAAUGUGCCCUUAAAGAUAUGUCCCAUCCAAAACUUACUUCUUGAGUCCCGAUUGUUAACCUGACAAGGAAAAACCCUUCCCCAUGCCCUAAUUUCCCACAUAAGUAACAAAAAAGUGUUAGUCUUUCAUAUUGGAAAAAAGCAUAUCCCUCUCGCCCUUGUCCCAAUGCCAAUUUUUUCUUAGGCUUCAAGGCUAGUCUUACAUCAACUCUAGUUCAAAAAUGCAUAUACCAAUGUUCCCCUCUCGUAAUUGAAGUAGCGGAUGGACUGCCCAAUAAAAUUACCUAGAUGUCUUGCCAAUCCCUCCGAUAUAACCCUAAACGCCAGAUAGAUCUGAACCCAGAAAUUAAUAUAAACCAAUGGGACUUUCAUCAGGUCUUCCCCAUUAUUCAAUCGAUGGAAAACAAUAAGGUGCCUAUUGAAUGAUCAGGGUAUACCAUCCAAAACCCUUUUUAUAUCAACCUUAUAGAAAAAAUGGAACAAAUACCUUUUUUCCCUUAGAUCUAUGAUUGUAACUCCCCCAACGGAUGCCAAAGAUUAGCCAGAGUUCUUUUCAGAGAGGGAAAAUGAACCAUACACUCCAUUAAAGCUUUUCCUACCAAGCAAAAUUGAUAAUCAUCUUCUAAACCAUUCAGAUCAUUUUCACAAAGAAUCAGUUCCUCCUCUUCAUCGUCAAGAUUUAGAUUUGCAAGCUCUUCCUUCAUUACUAACAAAAAUCUCGAACAAUCGCACUCUAAAUUUGCCAACCCAAAAACCCUACGAUAAGGGAAAUGUGCUUAUAGCAGACGAAAAUGAGAAAAGAGACGUGCUAAAACUCUUUAGCAGACAAAAGAGCUAUUUUGAGUUUUAUUAAUUGUAAAUAUUAUUGUAUCAUGUUUUUUUUUUAUAUUCGUAUCACAAUUAAAUUUAUAUUUG